GGCAGAACUGACUGUAGAUCCCCAGGGGGCACUGGCAAUCCGUCAGCUGGCAUCAGUCAUCUUGAAACAAUAUGUGGAGACUCACUGGUGUGCCCAAUCAGAGAAAUUUAGGCCUCCUGAAACUACAGAAAGGGCAAAAAUUGUUAUCCGGGAGCUAUUGCCUAAUGGGUUGAGAGAAUCGAUAAGCAAAGUGCGCUCCAGUGUGGCCUAUGCAGUGUCAGCCAUUGCCCACUGGGACUGGCCUGAAGCUUGGCCCCAACUCUUCAACCUGCUCAUGGAGAUGUUGGUGAGCGGAGACUUAAAUGCCGUCCAUGGAGCCAUGCGUGUGCUGACAGAUGAGAACCAACUAAGGCUCAUGGUGUAAAGGAAAUGCAAAUAUAGCAGCUAAGGAUUAGAAGAUUUGAUCCACCAGAUACACCUUUUUCUUUGUUCUCAAAGAAGUUUGGAGAUUGAGGUGUUGCUGGAGUCCUAGAAUUUUUCUGACUUGCUGAAUCACCUCAGAAAACUUUUGGAAUUAAACCUAUAAAGUAUUAAUAAAUUGAUACCAGGGAUGAGUAUAGGAGAGUAAAAAGCAGUCAAGCACUUUAUUAGCAGAAUUAAAUUAUACUGUAUUUUUCAUAAAAACUUGUUAUUAUGCCAUCUAUCAUAUUUGUUUGGACUAAUUUCCUUGAAUUUCUAAAUAAAAUAGAACACUCACCAUUCAAA
rnacentral:sRNA from 1 species